rnacentral:rRNA from 1 species
AACGAACGCUGGCGGCAGGCCUAACACAUGCAAGUCGAACGCCCUAGCAAUAGGGAGUGGCAGACGGGUGAGUAACGCGUGGGAAUAUCCCCCUCAGUACGGAAUAGCCCAGGGAAACUUGGAGUAAUACCGUAUACGUCCGUGAGGAGAAAGAUUUAUCGCUGAGGGAUUAGCCCGCGUAGGAUUAGCUAGUUGGUGAGGUAACGGCUCACCAAGGCGACGAUCCUUAGCUGGUCUGAGAGGACGAUCAGCCACACUGGGACUGAGACACGGCCCAGACUCCUACGGGAGGCAGCAGUGGGGAAUAUUGGACAAUGGGCGCAAGCCUGAUCCAGCCAUGCCGCGUGAGUGACGAAGGCCUUAGGGUUGUAAAGCUCUUUUGGCGGGGACGAUAAUGACGGUACCCGCAGAAUAAGCCCCGGCUAACUUCGUGCCAGCCGCCGCAGUAAUAC